AGGCACGAAAGCGUGGGGAGCAAACAGGAUUAGAUACCCUGGUAGUCCACGCCGUAAACGAUGAGUACUAAACGUUGGGUAAAACCAGUGUUGAAGUUAACACAUUAAGUACUCCGCCUGAGUAGUACGUACGCAAGUAUGAAACUUAAAGGAAUUGACGGGACUCCGCACAAGCGGUGGAUCAUGUUGUUUAAUUCGAAGGUACCCGAAAAACCUCACCAGGUCUUGACAUGCCUCUGCAAAGCUGUAGAAACACAGUGGAGGUUAUCAGUUGCACAGGUGGUGCAUGGUUGUCGUCAGCUCGUGUCGUGAGAUGUUGGGUUAAGUCCCGCAACGAGCGCAACCCUUAUUGUUAGUUGCCAGCACGUAAUGGUGGGGACUUUAGCAAGACUGCCAGUGAUAAAUUGGAGGAAGGUGGGGACGACGUCAAAUCAUCAUGCCCCUUAUGACCUGGGCUACAAACGUGAUACAAUGGCUGUU
rnacentral:rRNA from 1 species